UAUAUUUGCAUAUUUUAAUACAUAUUUUGUCUUUAUAACUAAAUUAAUCUGUUAUUCGUAUUAAAUUAUUCACUUCUUCUUGGCGAAACCUGGGUAGCUGACGUAUGACACUGGGACGGAGGAGUACGAGACCGAGUGAACCGGGGCAGCAGCGUAUGCGUAGGCAGGAGCACCGUACUCCACAGCGGGGGCGGAGUAAGAAGAGUACGAAACAGCGGGGGCGGAGUACGACACAGCUGGGGCGGAGUACGAGACAGCUGGGGCAGAGUACGAAACAGCAGGGGCUGAGUAAGACACAGCGGCGGGGGCUGAGUAAGACACAGCGGGAGCUGAGUAC